GAUGAACGCUGGCGGCGUGCCUAAUACAUGCAAGUCGAACGCAUUGUGGUUGAAAUGAUAUGAAGAACUUGUUCAGAUUCGAUUUUCAACAUUGCAAUGAGUGGCGAACGGGUGAGUAACACGUGGGAAACCUACCUCUUAGCAGGGGAUAACAUUUGGAAACAAAUGCUAAUACCGUAUAAUAAUUAAAACCGCAUGGUUUUAGUUUAAAAGAUGGUCUUGCUAUCACUAAGAGAUGGUCCCGCGGUGUAUUAGUUAGUUGGUGAGGUAAUGGCUCACCAAGACAAUGAUACAUAGCCGAGUUGAGAGACUGACCGGCCACAAUGGGACUGAGACACGGCCCAUACUCCUACGGGAGGCAGCAGUAGGGAAUCUUCCACAAUGGACGAAAGUCUGAUGGAGCAACGCCGCGUGUGUGAUGAAGGUUUCGGCUCGUAAAACACUGUUGUAAGAGAAGAAUGACAUUGAGAGUAACUGUUCAAUGU
rnacentral:rRNA from 1 species